GUUUGGGAAGUAGCACGGAUUGCUCAUCCGAUCCGUGCCGCCGCAGCGAGUGUGUCAAGUUACAGAGGCGCCGGAAUCGGCCCCAGGGCUCCUCCGCAGUGGUCACGGCCCGCCUCUGCCCGCGGGGCCCUCCAUGUGCGCCCCUUCGAUCCGCGACUGAACCGGCUCGCCCGGCAGACGCGAAGACACCAAGAACCAGACCCAAGCCGACAACUCCGCGGGUGCUUGAAGGGGAAGGCAGGGCGGAGAAGAAGGCCGGCCGCAUUCCCCUAAAUUUCCUGGACUUGGAACGUUCUUUGAAGUAACCUUUUUUCUCACCUGAGUGUACCCAGAUUACCACUGGGUGUGGGUUUUUCUUUCUUCUUCUUCUUCUUCUUCUUCUUCUCCUAGUUUUGACCCUCCUGCUGCUAAUUUUUCUAUCUUUUUUGCCGGGAGCAAAGGAAAGGGACAUUUUCCAGGACACAAGCCUUUUCCCCCUGCCCCGCAGUUUGGAUCACGCCCUUGGGCAGCGGCUCUCGCCUUUAUUUAUUCUAUUUAUUUAUUUAUUGCUUCUCAAGACUCGAGGGGAUGGUAGCGGAGCGCGCCCGCAAAGCGGCGGCGGCCAGUGCCUGUGGCCCUGGAGAGCUGGGCGCGCCCGGGACCGUGGCGCUGGCAGUGGCGCCGGCGGAGCGCUGCGCUCGGCUGCCGAGCCCGGGGUCGUGCGGGCUGCUGGCCCUGGCCCUCUGCUCGCUGGCACUCAGCCUGCUCGCCCACUUUCGGACGUCUGAGCUGCAGGCCCGGGUGCUGCGCCUGGAAGCCGAGCGCGGGGAGCAGCAGAUGGAGACGGCUAUUUUGGGACGAGUCAACCAACUGCUGGAUGAGAAAUGGAAGCUCCACAUUCGGAGGCGCCGGGAGACCCCAAAGACCUCUCCAGGGUGCCACUGCCCACCUGGACCUCCUGGUCCUGUUGGAAGACCUGGACUCCCAGGAGACAAAGGUGCCAUUGGGAUGCCUGGACGUGUGGGAGUAAAGGGCCAACCAGGCGAGAAGGGGGCUCCAGGAGAUGCCGGGAUGUCCAUCAUCGGUCCUCGCGGCCCCCCUGGUCAGCCAGGCACUCGAGGUUUUCCUGGAUUUCCGGGUCCCAUUGGGCUAGAUGGCAAACCGGGCCACCCUGGACCAAAAGGGGAGAUGGGCCUGAUAGGUCCUCGAGGACAGCUGGGACCUCAAGGACAAAAAGGAGAAAAGGGUCAGUGUGGAGAGUACCCACACCGGCUGCUGCCUCUCCUCAAUUCAGUGCGACUGGCUCCACCCCCAGUCAUAAAAAGGCGGACCUUCCAGGGUGAACAGGGCCAAGCUGGCAUCCAAGGCCCACCAGGGCCACCAGGCCCCCCUGGACCAAGUGGACCUCUGGGACACCCAGGACUGCCAGGGCCCAUGGGGCCACCUGGCUUACCUGGGCCUCCUGGACCAAAGGGAGACCCUGGGAUUCAGGGCUACCAUGGACGAAAGGGAGAACGGGGCAUGCCAGGGACGCCGGGCAAACACGGAGCAAAGGGGGCUCCUGGGAUCACCGUGGCUGGGCUGAAGGGUGAGCCAGGGACCCCCGGAGCCAAGGGUGAAAAGGGGGCUGCAGGCUCCCCUGGGCUACUCGGCCUCCUGGGACAGAAGGGAGAGAAAGGAGACACUGGCAACUCCAUUGGAGGAAGCAGAGGGGAGCCCGGCCCCCCAGGGCUCCCUGGGCCUCCAGGGCCAAAGGGAGAAGCUGGUGUAGGUGGCCCUGGUGGCUCCCCGGGACAGCAAGGAGACAAGGGGGAGCCUGGAGCAGCUGGAGGACAGGGACCAGCUGGCCCCAAGGGCUCCAAGGGAGAACCAGGGAAAGGUGAGAUGGUGGAUUACAAUGGAAACAUCAGUGAGGCUCUCCAGGAGAUCCGGACGCUGGCCUUGAUGGGGCCACCUGGUCUUCCUGGCCAAAUCGGCCCACCUGGAGCUCCAGGGAUCCCAGGUCAAAAGGGGGAGAUUGGACUGCCAGGCCCUCCAGGACUCGAUGGGGAAAAGGGACCUCGAGGCAAACCAGGAGACGUGGGCCCUCCUGGUCCCCAAGGCCCCCCAGGAAAGAUGGGGCCUGCAGGAAUGAAGGGAGAAGACGGACACAUGGGGAGCCCAGGAGAGAAGGGAGAGAAAGGCGAGGCAGGGCAGGCAGGCCCGCCGGGUUUAGACGGUCCAACUGGGGAGAAAGGAGAACCAGGUGGCCAAGGGAGACCAGGAAUGACAGGAUUGCCUGGCCCCAUCGGGCUCCCAGGAUUUACAGGAGAGAAAGGAGAACCUGGCAAGAAGGGUGACCCAGGAGUGGAGGUUCCUGGGCCACCAGGACCAGAGGGGCCUCCUGGACCUCCAGGGCUCCAAGGCGUUCCUGGACCAAAGGGGGAAGCAGGACUAGAUGGACCGAAAGGAGAGAAGGGUGUCCAGGGAGAGAAGGGAGACCGAGGCCCUCUGGGAUUACCCGGAGCUUCAGGUUUGGACGGCAGGCCUGGGCCACCGGGCACUCCGGGACCAACUGGAGUUCCAGGCCCGGCGGGACCCAAGGGCGAGAGGGGCAGCAAAGGUGACCCUGGGGUGACAGGACCAACGGGAGCAGCUGGGCUUCCUGGUUUACACGGACCACCCGGGGACAAAGGAAACCGGGGGGAGAGGGGGAAGAAAGGCUCUAGAGGGCCUAAAGGGGAUAAGGGAGACCAAGGAGCGCCUGGAUUAGAUGCCCCCUGUCCAUUGGGCGAAGACGGCUUACCAGUCCAGGGCUGCUGGAACAAGUGAUGCCUCUAACCUGGAUUGGCCUGUGUGUGUGUUUGUACAUAGAAUAUUUAUUUUUAUACAGUUUUCACUUUUUGAAAACGUCAGAAGUAUGAUGCAUCUUACAGAUUAUUAAAAAAAGGAAAAAUCUGCAUAUUUUGUACAGAAAAUACCAACCUCUUCCCUUUUGUUUACAAGAUGUUUUGUGGCCAGAGUCCAUGGUUAGUUGCCAAGAAGUGAAGCCAGCCAGCCCAGAGCCUUGGGGAAAGCAUCUUUGCCCUGGAGGAGGGAGAAGAUGGAGCUACCCCUGGACAGAGGGUCACAGCCGAAUCCUUCCCAGGGGCUGAUCAGAGGGCAACCAGAGGACAGCAUGGGCCAUCUGCCCUCCCCAAGGGUCAGAGCCCAGCUAGAAGGGCAAAGCCACCACACCUGCCUCUUUCAGCUCUCUGCGGAUUCCUGCUGCGCCCGCAGCUAGGGCCCUCUGCUGCUCUGCACUCUCAAGGGCCCUUGCAGUUCUUUGAGCAACCUCUCUGCAGAAGGGGCUGCCAGCAUUGUCAUGCUCUGAACUUGGAAAGCCUCCCUGGAGGCUGUGGCCAGAGACAUGUCAUCUUUCCCAGCUCCUUCUCAACAGAUUUCCCUUCAUUUCUUUGGUGCUGUCACUGUUAACCCUUUUACGUCCUGGGUUCUUAAAAUGUUAUAAGCUGAUAAGUGUACCAAGCUGGAAAAGCAGAGAGCAUUUGUCUUCAAGAGGAUGGAACAAAAACACAGUAGAGGAGAGAGGCCCACAGGCAAGACUGGGUGAUUAGGUCGGACCCCUGGGCCGGCCCUCAGAGCCAAGGGCCUCACGCAUCUAGUCUGGUGUCCUGAGAAGCUCCAGCCAGUCUUGAGCUGACAGCCAAGAGAGGCAGCAGUCUACAUAUUUUCAAAAGGAUCUGGAAUAAGCCCUCUUCCUCUAGCAAAAUUGUUAAAGGCCCAGUGCCUGGAAAUUACCCAUGCACUCCUCCCACCCCUGCGGUCACCAUACACCGACCACCUUGCUGCUGUUCCUUCCACAGAUAGGGUGGCCAUAUUCUCUUGUUCAGUGCACGUUCCUCUGCACGUGAAUGACUGUUAUUAGUGAUGCCAUGAUGACAGAUGUCGACCUAGCAAACCAGGAUGUGGGGUCACACUAAUUAUGAUCCAAUAUACAAGUCAUCCCCAGUCUUCCAGGGCAGUUUCUGGCGAGUCCUCAACACUUCCUGAUCCUUAGAGCUGCAACCAUGUAGAGAGGGCCUAUGGUGUCAGGACCAGGUGGACACUGUGUGGCGAACAAAGGUACCACCCCCGGUUCCCAGCUCUACUCACCUGCAUCAGAUGAGAGGGCAGGCCUGAGGGAGGCAGAAACAACGGGUGGUGGUAUUCAAAGGACAGCAAGGUCUUGAAUAAACUGACAUUUCAGCAAAAUUCCUCCCCAAGACAAUUCCAAGAUGGAGAGAUGGAUCACCAGGGCACACAUUCUGACUUAAAUCUAUAACAUUUUUUCUCAGCUCUGCAGGUUAAAGUAAAUGAGUUACAGCAAGUUUACUGUUUUCCCCAUUCAUAGUGUCUGGCCGACAAAACUGUUGCCCACCAUCCCAACCUUCACUGAUAACUCCAUUUCUUCCCACUUCGGAUGCUUACUGUAAGUUGGAACAGUGGCCUCUUUACCCCAGUAGGCAUGGCACAUCCAGGGCUGCAGACAAAUGGCAUGGGUCCACCUCGGCCCCUUGGGGUCAAAGAUGCAUGUCCAUAACUGGAUGUGGCAAAAUUCAUGGACCCAAAUGCUGAUCCAGACAUGACAUGGGGCUCAGUGAGUACCAUCAGGCUUUUACAGCCAAGUAAAAUCCAGCCACCCAACACUCCCGCCAUCGCCGGGGCAUAGGAGAAAUUAAAAGCAUCCCUGUAUAUGAUACACAGUGAAGGGGUUUGAGGACUUUUGAUAAUUCACAGGAUCCUGGACUUUCCUAUAUAGUCAAAAGGUCUUAUCAGCUGCCAGCAAACCGCCGGCUGAACCAACAACAGUCGAGGAAGACAGAUCCAUCACGGCCACCUUUUAAGAGAGGAAAUUCUCUGUCCCUGGGCUCUCUUCACUCUAAGAAAUGCAGUGAAACCACCUGCUAAGAGACGUUUUUCUUGCACUCUACUCAUUCCAAAGACAAAGUAUUUUAUUGCAAAUGUCCACCAAAAUAAAUGUGCCUGGACUUCCCCCAGCCAGUGAGCGGGACAGCGCUCUGGCCUGGGAGGCAGGUCAGCCUGCCAGCUGGGCGACCUGCGGCAAGUGGCUCCCGUGCUCCUGGACUCUUUCCUUCAUCUGUAACCUGGGGCAGGUUCUGCCUGCCUCGCGGCGAUGCGAGGACUACCUCUGUGAAAGGACUUGGAAUACAGAGAGCUAUAUAAAGGUUAGGCAACGUGAUGGUUAGUGUUCACUGUUCAAAAGAAACCUUGCUUUUCCUAGUCAAACCUCAAUUAACUAGAGUCAUUUGAGAAAUGGUUCAUGAAAAUUUCUGGUGAAAUUAGGCUCAAAGCAGGCCGCUUUGUGUUGACACAGAGGGCCUGGUUGACAAAUGUUGUGGACGCUGAAUACUGGAGAGGUAGAAGUGGUGGCCAGCGGGAGUGGGGAAAAAGAUGGUGGUGGACUUCCCCCUGAGGAGGGGCUUUUUAAAACUAAAUACCAUAAGUGUUCAUAGGGUUUUUUUUCUUUUCCCUAAAAGAGGAAAAUAACCAAUUUUUAAAAAAUCUUUCUUUAAAAUUCCAGUUAUCCCUAGUCCUGGUUGAAUGAGGAUUUCCCCUUUGGUUGACUCCACCAUGUUCACUGAUGCUGGGCCUGCGUCUGUCUCCCCAGCCGCCUCCUGCCCUCCUCCUGCCCCGCCAUCCAUGCCCUAGUGGUCAAUCUCUCGUCUUAAGUUUCACAAUCAUUACCUCAGUAUUUCAGCAGAAAAAGUUCGAUUGCAUUGUGUCUUGCAGGAAACUUCAGUGCAGUUAAUUGAGGGUUUAAUGUAUUUUUUUAAGUAAGUCAGAACCUAAUUUUCAGAAUUGCAGAAUGAAGGUCAACAGCUUCUUUGACUGAUUGUAUAGAUUAGGCAGCAGGAAGAAGUUUUCAGGGGUAACUGCUAGAUGAUAAAAGGAUUAGUUUUUUUCUCUUAAAUUUUUUGGUAAGGUCCUGUCCACACUGCAGGCAGUGGGUCUUUUAUAAGGAAGAAGAAAACAUUUACCUACAUAGAGUUUGCUAAUGGCUUCAGUUUUUCUGAUGUGCAAGAUAUCUUCUUUUUAUUAAUCUCUGUAUUUUUCCUAUGACUUUUAAAAAGUUAUUUCCUCUGAGCUCUCCUUUGGGUCAAAAGUGCCUCCUGUGAAGGCAACAUGGUGCUCAGCCCCUCCUGAGGCAUCCCCCCUCUCCAUUCCAGGGGUCCCCAACAACCAGGGCUGACCCAUCCUGACCCCUGCAGGAACCCCUUUCAUGCCCUAGUGCCUUUUACCAAGCAGAGGUCUUGUUUCACCACGCAGGACCCUCCUGAGCUACAGGGCAGUCCCUGGCCUCCCUGGGGUCCCGUCACCCUCCACCCCGGCCCCUGGGCCUGCUUCUACCAUACCAAGCAGAUGGUGAGAGCCGGGAGGAUUCUACCUGCUGGCUGCUUUUGGCACUUCCCCAGAUGGUCCCCAAAGCCCCCCAGCCCUCCUGGUGGAGGCUUUUCCUAGCUCUGCCCCUUUUCCUUCUGAAACCCCCAGAGGAUUUGUCACCUCCUUUUCUUGCAUCCACUCUUGGCCUGAUUUCUUUGUUUUUCAGUUCUCUGUCCAUUCACUUCUCAGCCUCAGACCACAUGGCCCCCUCUCUCACCCCAGGCCCCAUCUCUGUCUCCAUUCUCAUCCUCUGUCCCCUCAGAGCUCCCAACACUUCUCCCUGUUCAGCCCACUGAGCAUCGUCCUAGCUCACAUCCACAAAACGAUCCCCCUGGGGAGAAAGUUCUGCUAUCUUGUCAAUUCAUGUGACAGUUUUGUUUUCCUACCAAACACUUCUGGUGCCUUUCAUUUAAAUAGAGUCUUUGACAGAUGCAUUGUUUAUCUUGUUAUGUUCCCCAUAAGAACAGAAAUACUCUAUUUUAUUGUAUCAUAUUGUAUUUUUGGUUUCCAUUGAAAGUCUGAUAAAACAUUGUUAUUAAGAGUUACUGGUGAAAUAACCCUUGUUUUCUUUGUUUUUUUGGUUUCAGGGUCAUAAGCAAAGUCUCUAGGGUUUCCUAUUGGUUUUAAGUUCAACAUAUCACAGCAAACUUCUUGAUACAGGGCUGUGACCUGCUCCAUCUCCAGAGGAAGGCAGCAGGCUACAGAGCAAAAUUUCCAUUCCCCCCUCCCUGAAAUGAAAGGGUGAGGCUAGAUGGAAUAUUGUGAAUCUGUAAUUCAGUAGCUUUCUUGAUCAUUUCAACAGGUCAAAUGCAUUUUUCCUUAUGCCUGUCAGGGAGUUGUUUCAUUUGGUUAGGUUUUUAACCACACAGGUAUCUGCUUUUUCUAAUUUAAAGAGGUGCUCUGGCUCAGGCCCGAAUGGCAAAUAUCCCCUUCCCACCAAACCCAGAUGCCAACCUGCAGUGAACAGCAGGGGCUCAAGUUCCCUGUGCAGUUCUUUCCUUUUCCUUUGGGAACUCACUUGGUUUCCUUCCUUUCAUGGACUGCUGGAAUCUAGGAUAAGGUCUCUAAUACUCAAUGAGACAUUCAGAGAAACCCAGUGCCAGGCAUUUGUGGCAGAAAACAGAAGAGCUAAUCUUUUUCUUAAAAAUGAACUCUGGAUUAUAGUUUAGCCAAAAAUAAGCAAGCCAGUACCGUGGCCAUCCAAGCGCCCCACGAAAGUGAGGCCAGGGUUCUUGUUCACGCAGUCGAAGAAUGAACUUUGCAAACACUCAAGGGAGGCAAGCAAGGGAGAGGCUUUUAUUUAGAGAUAAAGCAAGAGGACAGAGUUCCUGGCCCAUGCCAGGAGGGGACAAGAGAGCCCGUGGUUGGGCUUCGUCUCAGGGUUUAAACCUUAGGUUUAACUGAGGUGUUCAGUUUUUAUUGGUCACAGCCUGAAUGCUGUUUUUUGUUUUUACCAAUUCCACUGAAGAUUGCCUAAAUUCCAAAUUUGGUAUUUUUAUCCUAAAUAAUUUGUGUGAGUCUAACUUUGCUUAAUUUUUAACACAGAGUUUUGGUAAGACUUUCUUUGCACAUUCUUACUUUCUUCGGACCGUAAUUAAUCCUGCUUUGCUUCAUCCAGAGGCCCUCACCCUACUCUGUCUAAAUUCAUGGUCCCUGUCUCAAAAGGUUCUCAGUAUUUCCCAUGACAAAGCAGGGGUCUGCAGAGGCCCUGUCCCCAGGGCCAGUAGAGUUCAGUGUGUGCACUCUAGGACAGUCAGCAUAAGCAUGGAAAUUGCUAAGUGGCUUUGUUGCUGUCAUAUGGCCAAAAGGGUUUAUAACAACUGUGUUUGAGAGGUAAUUGACACCUGCACUGUCUGUGCCCCUGGAAGGUGUUACGGCAGGUUCAUGCAGGAGAAGUGAUGUCUCUAGGACUGUAACUGUGAGUGGACCAUGUGAAAACUUGGGUCAGAUGAGCCCUAAUUCAGCAGGGAGAGGGGCAGAACUGAGCAACAUUCCACGCUACCAAGUGGCCAAGAAAUAUGCCAGCACCUGCACACCAACACAGAGGAAUUCACUGGUUCUACACUGGGGCACGGCUUCCAGUCUCCCUGUCCAGGUACUAACCUAGUCAUAAACCAAGGAGGUCCCCACUUGAGAUGGGGGCCCUGAAGGAAGUCUGGUUUCUCCAGUUAAAGUUCCCUUUCCUGAAAAAGCCACUAGUAAGAACGUCCCUCACUGAGCUCCCACAUCGGGACCUUCAAAGUGAGUGUGGUUCUGACCGCCAGUGCUCACAGCUCCCAGCACAUCCACACCAGGCUGAAGGCCAUGGUGGAAGAAGCCUGUGUGGGGCACCUGGAGCCUGGGGCCCCAUGGGCUUCUUCCGCCAGCCUCAGAAAGGCACUCCCCUGGCUGGCAGCAACCCAACAGCAUCAUGGCCUUUGUGGGCUUCCCAGUACCUCAGCCUCAACUUUAGCCUCUCACUGCUGGCCUGAAGGCCAACUUCUGGGAGAGUCCCUGAGCCUCAGAGCCCAGUUUCUCUCCAGCAGCCCAUCUGUCAUGCCAGACCCCACCGGGAACCAGGGCUGUCCCAUUUAUGAUCUGAAAAAGGGCUCCAAAGGAUUUUAAUUACUCAAUGAGAUUGAGAGCUUCCUCUGUAAAACAGAUUAUAGAAUCUUAUAUUAUACUUCAGUGAUUCAUUAAAAAUGCCAUUUUUACCAGGAAAAUACUACUAAGGGUAAGGUGUCUGAUUCCCUCAUUUCCAACACUUCCUUUCUGCCCAACUGGAUGUUGCAAAUUUCCACAGCAACCCCAGGCUGACCUGUUUGCUGAAAAAUUUGGGUUUUAUGCAUUUGUUACAUUUACACUUUCAUUUAAGCUUUUUUUCUUGUUAUUUGGUACAUUUGGCAUACACUGGUUAAAUGCACAGUUUGAUUUCCAUGAGCUUAAUAAUGGAACAGGGAUUCUCUUGUUUCUCUCAGACUUCAGAUAAUUUUGGAAAUGUUUAAAUCCUACACAUCCAUUUUAUACAUGUUGUGCUAUUGUUAACUUCAUAUAGUAAAUAUCUUUUGAUAUAUCUUGGCAUUUUAAGCACUGUCUCUUUUUUAUUGUGAUCAUUAUCACUAGUAUUCUUAUUCUUAACUUUGGAUAUUUUUUCUGGUGUACUCAACUUAUUUUUCCAACCAAACUGUUUUGAUAAUUUGGAAGUAUGUUACUAAUUUGGAUAAGUAGAAUAGGAAAGCACUUUGCUUCCUCAGUGAGUAAGUUCUCUGUUAAUAGUGAAAUUAAAAGAUGGGUCUUUUUACUACCUAUAUAUAGUUUACUUCCCAUUAUCGGGGCUGUCUCUACAAAGCUUGUUUCUCUGAUGAAUUAUUCUAUCUGUCCCAUUUCUGACUCUGAUUUUUAAUUCCUAUGAUUCAGUUUGCCAAUGCCUGAACAUAUCAGGUCAAAGCAGUGUUUUUCCUUGAUGGUGGGGUCUUUGCUCCAUUUCAACAACUUACAGGCUAAAAGUGAACCACAGGGAGAAUAUCCCAAGUAGUCCGGGUUUGCCUAAGGACCUAUGACUAGAUGGCUUCAUAAGUGGCUUCUCAAGAGUUUUUGAAGUAGAGGACAGACCCCCAGCUGACCCAUACCUCAUUGGUUUGAAAUGUCUUGCCUACCACUUCAACACAUCUAGGAAGACUGCAAACCUAGAAUUAUGAACAACUCUAUCCCACCAGUGUAUCACCAGGGCAAGGGCUCUGCACAGGGGUCAGAAGACCCCAGUUCUAGUCCUAGUUCUGUUGCCAGCACACUAAACGGCAGCCCAUUCUGGUUCUUGGCCUUAAAAUGUGCGAGGCUGGACACUCUUUGCAAGUUGGAUACUUUACGUAAGACAUAGCUGAACAAAUCAGCCUUUCCUUGAAAUGCAGCUUUGCUAUUCCCGGAUGGGAAGAAUUCUAGCUGUUUCUUAAGUAGAAGGGCCUGCAAACCCACCGGGGCCAGUGGCCUAAGCCACAGUGAUGGAUUAGGCAUCCUAAGGAUCGAAGGAGGACCCAAGAACCCAAUGUGGGAAGAUCAGUUACUAAUUACACUCAACAAAGGCUCCUGAGAAGAGGCCAUCACCCUACAAAGAUGAAACAGCAACUGGCUAAAUUUAAAAAAUGGUUUGGCAAUAGUUAGCCUAAUGCACUUCCACAUGUAAGGGGAAAAGUAGCCAGAAAAUUUCCUGCUGAAAUUGUGGCCCUUCGUGUCUGCGUCGUCCUAGUUUUAUAUGCCAUUUUGUACUUUGUAUCUACAAUGUAAAUACUUUCCAUUGUAAAAAAAAAAAUGUAAAUAUGAAUUCUAUAUUUUGUUUCUCUUUUCUAAAAUGGAAGUAAGACUAGGUAAUAAAUCA